UGGGGAAUAUUGCACAAUGGGCGCAAGCCUGAUGCAGCCAUGCCGCGUGUGUGAAGAAGGCCUUCGGGUUGUAAAGCACUUUCAGCGGGGAGGAAGGCGAUAAGGUUAAUAACCUUGUCGAUUGACGUUACCCGCAGAAUAAGCACCGGCUAACUCCGUUCCAGCAGCCGCGGUAAUACGGAGGGUGCAAGCGUUAAUCGGAAUUACUGGGCGUAAAGCGCACGCAGGCGGUCUGUCAAGUCGGAUGUGAAAUCCCCGGGCUCAACCUGGGAACUGCAUUCGAAACUGGCAGGCUAGAGUCUUGUAGAGGGGGGUAGAAUUCCAGGUGUAGCGGUGAAAUGCGUAGAGAUCUGGAGGAAUACCGGUGGCGGAGGCGGCCCCCUGGACAAAGACUGACGCUCAGGUGCGAAAGCGUGGGGAGCAAACAGG
rnacentral:rRNA from 1 species